rnacentral:rRNA from 1 species
GCCAGACUCCUACGGGAGGCAGCAGUGGGGGAUAUUGCACAAUGGGGGGAACCCUGAUGCAGCGACGCCGCGUGGGUGAAGGAGUAUUUCGGUAUGUAAAGCCCCAUCGGCAGGGAAGAAGCAAGACGGUACCCGACUAAGAAGCCCCGGCUAACUACGUGCCAGCAGCCGCGGUAAUACGUAGGGGGCAAGCGUUAUCCGGAUUUACUGGGUGUAAAGGGAGCGUAGACGGUAUGGCAAGUCUGAUGUGAAAACCCGGGGCUCAACCCCGGGACUGCAUUGGAAACUGCCGAACUAGAGUGUCGGAGAGGCAAGUGGAAUUCCUAGUGUAGCGGUGAAAUGCGUAGAUAUUAGGAGGAACACCAGUGGCGAAGGCGGCUUGCUGGACGAUGACUGACGUUGAGGCUCGAAAGCGUGGGGAGCAAACAGGAUUAGAUACCCUCGUACAC